GUCCCUGGGCUCUGGAGGCAUAGCCAGAACCCCCUUAGAUGUCACAUUCGUGGAGACAGAGGAGUCUUGGACCAUGUGCGCAACUGGAGCGUAGGAGUGUGCACUCGUCUUCUCGGAAAGGAAGGGCUGGAAAUAACCCUGACAGUGUUAGGCUUGGUGGCGAUCAGGGACAGAUGACUCUUACCGGUAGCCGUUUGCCCAAAUGCUUCUGCCCUUUGGAAGAGUCUUUGUGGCAGUGUGAGUUGUCUCCAGUAAGGGACCCUGGAGGGAGUGGCUCAUCCUAGCUAUAAAGAGUGUGUUAUUUUUAUCUUUUUUUUUUAAAGAAUCACUUUUUCUAAGUAUGUCGGAGUGAUUGAGCAGAGAGAAAAAUGAAUACCCUAAGCGAACUAGAAAUCUGGAAAGAACCGAAAUAGAGGCAGUGUCUCAUGACACUUUACUUGAGGACUCACCUGAUGAACUGCUGAUCAACUCUAUAGAUUCCUUCACCUAACCAGAACUGACUUCAUCAGAGAGUUAUGAUGGUUAACUCUAUCAGUCUUCUACCUGAAUGCCCCAAGAUAUUGAUGAAGUCAACAAAAACAUUGAGCCUCAGAACACAAGAAAUCUUGGACAAACUGGGAGACAGCUUGUCAGUAUCUAAGCCCUCUGAACUCCAGGAAAACACUUUGCCAUGGGCAUGUAUGAUUUUUCCAAGUGCAGAGUGAUGUCGACACAUCAUGGACUCUGGUCUGUGCUCCACUACAGAAGGCUACCACUGUCUUACAAGUCGAUUUUAAAAUACUCACAGCUUCACUUUCUUUUAACAGUCCUUUAGCUCAGAAUGUUCUUGUCUGUCUGGGCCUGCCUUGAAAUUGAUCCUGGAUUUGAAACUGACAACUGUGAACUAGCAAGAAAAUGGUGCUGCAAGAGUUUUCAUGUUUGAAGAAGAUUCAAAGACGGGUCUGAUUGUAUAGGUUCAUGGCUCAGUCACAAAUAAACAUAGGUUCUGAUCACCUGAGCUCUUCAGUUCACUCGGAUUCGGAAGUGCUCUCUCUCUCUCUCUCUCUGUCUCUCUCUCUCUGUGUCUGUGUGUGUGUGUAAUAAAAUGUAAUGCAAUGUAUAUAUAAAAUAUUAUACAAUAUUCUGAAGAGUUUUGAGGCAGUAUUCUAUAAUCAAAUACAUUAAUAUUCCUGCACCCAAAAGGCAUAAUGGCCACAUUAGGAGAACUAUGUGGCAAUUAUAGACUUUGUUACGGGAAUUUUAUUACUGGCUCCAAAAUGAUACAAACAUUUCCAAUGCUUAUUAUAUUUUGUUGUUGCAGACAUGAUAUUAUAAGAUUUUAUUUUGAAAAUAUCUGCUAUAGGACUAGUGAAAUAUUUUUAAAACGGCAUUUAAUAACACAGUAGAGAAAAAUUUCAAGGCUAGGAUGAAAACUCUCCUAUAUUUUAAUGUGAACCCAUUUCUGUGUGGAGUAAAAAUCUGGGGAAAAAACACAAAUGUUAAGAAUAAGCAGGAAUUAAUAUCAAGGAAAGUAACAUGCAAGUAGUUUAAAGGUAGCUUAAGAGAGUAAUUAUCAUUUUCAAAUUGCGUGAGAAAUACAGAAACUCUGAAUAGCUUUUUCUGAAAUCACAUUAGCCGCCCUCCCUACCUCCAUUACUCUACAUAAUUUCACCACAGACCAGUGGGAAUCAUAAACACAGUUUAUAAGUGCUUUAGCUUUGUGAGUAUAUUACUCCUAGAGUGGAAACUAUUGAGGUAGAUGCUGUAAAAGAUACACUGUAGAUGUGAUAUUCAUUGUAUUGUUCACAGGGAGGAUACAGGCUGAAUCAUUGAAAUGAUGUGAACUUUCUUCCCCCAACACAAUCUCUCUCCACUUAUUGCUCCCACUUCCACUUUCUUAAGAAUUUAUAGUCAUUAUUUAACAGUGAUGCAUUAGACUGUUUUUCAGUGGAUUGAAAUCUCCAUGUGCCCAAAGCUUUUAAACUCCAUGUGAAUUGAAUUUGAAAAUUUCUGUACAGCUGAAUUAAAUAACUUCUCAUCAUAACCUG
rnacentral:lncRNA from 1 species